AUAAAAUAAAAAUACUUAACAUGAAAUAUUAGUUCAUAAAAUACAAUAACAUGGGAAUGUUGGGAAUGUAUAUAUAUAUAUCACAUAACAACAGAAAAUAAGUAACUGGCAACAUGCAGGAAAUAAUGACAUAACAAAUGACGCAAAAGGAGGAGGAGGAACUAAAACUAGACAAGGGUUGAUGUUUUCACAUCUGCACAGUAAGGAAAUACUUGUGGCUGUAACAUGAUGAUAAAUCUCCAUACCGCCAUAUGGACCCUGAUGUCUUUGAUUCUGUCGGGUAAGACUUCCUUCACAACGACACAUCAGAUGUUUUGCUUCUGCUGCUGAGUAUAUAAUUUGCUUGAGAAGGCAAAUAUAGGAAUGCUGUUUACAUUGUAGAACCAGUUGUUUCUGAUUAAAUUCCUUCAGAAUUACUCAUAUGCUUCCAUUUCAGGCACUCUUGCUGCUAACUGGACAGUGCGUGUUCCUAAGGAUCCAGUUUAUGCUCCUUCUGGUUCUUCUGUAGUUUUGGAGUGCACCUAUGACUACCCUGAAGAGUCUGACCAGGGAAAACUGCACAAAGUACAGACAGAGAUGUGGUGUCUGAACGAAAGCCGCUGCAUUACUCCCAAAUACGUGUACCACAGUGCAGGGAUAUUCCCUGAGCCCUCAUACCAGGGCCGAGUCAAGUACUUGGGGCAGACAGGGAGCAAAAACUGCUCUCUGAUGUUAUCUGAUCUGAGGUCAGAAGACAGCGGCAUGUACGUGUUCCGGUUCAUCACCGACCAUCUGAAGGCCAAGCUACCAGGACAGAGAGGAGUGAAUCUACAGGUCACACAUCGGAUAGAAAUCCACAGCAAAUGUCAGCUCUUCACAAGAAGACAUGUCCACAAAGUUGAGGCACUUCCUCAGAGAAACCUAGCUUUCCUGACAUUGACUGUGGGAGAUUCACUUCAAAGUCUGUGA
rnacentral:lncRNA from 1 species